UCAAGGUGAACCAACCCUAGGUAGAUUUUGUUGAGCAAAUCAUCACCUCCCUCUUUGUCAUUUUGGAAGAUGGUUCUGCCAGCAAUCCAUCGUCACUCCCUCUCUUGUCUAUUCCACACAUUCAGUGGUCGUAUUUCACUAGUUAAAUUAUUCAUAAUGUUGAGACAUUUGUUACUUAGGGUAACCCAUAAACAAGCAAGACCGCUUCUCCAAUUGAAUCUCCAGAGGGAAAUACAUAGUCGGAAUAAGAAGACUAUGGAGUUAAUAGCAAAAGGGUGGAAUGUUUAUAUGAAGUUGAUGGAGUCAUUGAUUUUACUGAACCUACAGGCCCACGUCUCCAUCUUCAAUUCAGAAUUACUCAUUUUUACAGUGGAGCUGCUCUACUGGCAGAAGCUGCAUGGGUGAUGCAGAUGCACCAUAUCCAUACAAGUUGGGUGGCUAUUUGAGAAUUGAGGUGGCAUAAUCACCUUAACUCAAAUAUAAACAAAGAGGCAUGGAGUCAGGAAGAGGAGGUCACCUUUAUUCAUGCUCAUCAAAUUUAUGGGAACAAAAGGGCCGAGUUAACAGAGUUCUUAACGGGAAGGAGAGAUAAUAUGAUAAAAAAUCAUUGGAACAGUUCUGAGAAAAAGAUAUUAGAUUCUUACUUGGCAUCAAGUCUACUAGCUCAGUUUCAAGGUCUGCCUCAGGUGGGCAAUCCGAAUCAAUCCCCUUUCUUCUUCGAGAGCACAAAAUAGUGGCAGAGAUGAAAUGGAAGAGAUAUCAGAAUGUAGCCAACCUUCAACUGCUCACGCGUGUUUCCAAACUGGACAAUAACACGGAGAAUAGCUGUAUUCCAGUACAUUCACAGGAUGCCUUUAGUUUGGUCUCAUAGAAUUGCAAACUUCAAGUCAGUCAUGUUCCCAGCAUACAGCUUUAGAAGAAGUGCAUGUGCUGGCCGAGGAAUACCUUGUGGUCAAGCUACGUCUGUUAAGUCCCCUAGGCAUAAUUGUAUGUGACACUGGGAGUUCUGAUUUUUUUUCUACUGGUGCCCUCUGCUUUUUUUUGAACCAUCUAGACAUUGUACAGUGGGGGCUGAGGCAAUCCAUGAAACAGGAUUGUUGACGUUAGGAGGAAGUUCGAUGCAGCAUAAUGUGGUUAGGGCUGAUGACCAGGAGCAGGCAUCUAUGUCUCAAAAUGACCAUUCUGGUGUCUCAAAAUGACCAUUCUUGACGGAACAUAAUGUGGAUGUUUUUCUUCAGUAAAUGGACUCUCCAAUAACCAAUCUGAAAGUCAAAGCUCUGAAACUGCUAGAAGUUUAGCUCGCAACCAUAUUAUCCACUAAGAUCCUCUGACAUGUUAGCAACAUACUGCGGUGAACCUUUAAUGAAUUACUCAAGUCUACUUUGCGCCAGUGAAGGAAAGCUCGGUUUUGGUAACAAAUGUAAUGGAAUGAAAGGCAUGUCAACCUGAGGUCUUUACGAGCUCCUGUGAUGGUCAUCUAUCCUGAGGCUGGCUAUGGUAAUUCUCCCUGUAAUGAUGAUAUAGAGAAAGAUUGCCUGCCUUUGAACCCCAACUGGGUUAAAGAUGCUUCAAAACCAGUUCCUGCUGAUAUAUUUGCUUCAUUGAACCUAAAGGUGUUGAAACACAUUCAAACGUGGAUAAAAGCAGAAAACAUGAUGUUUAGAAUCGGGAUCAGGGAAUUUUGUUUUACGAACCACCUCACUUUUUCCAAGCCUGGAUCUUCCAUGCUUAGCUUCGAUCUUAUGCAAUCUGGGGGUGAUUUACAACAGGCAUAUAGCCCCCUUGGUAUCCGCCAGUCUUCCAUGAACUGCUACUCUCCAUACAGGCUAUUCGAUUCACCAUCUCGAGAUGAUAGUCCCGACAGAGUUUUGAAGAAUGCUGCUACAAGCUUUCAAGGCACACCUUCCAUUCUGAAGAACGUCCGCGUGAAUUCUUUUCACCUUUACAGGAUAGAGAAUGUGGGGAAAAACACGAGGGGGAUAAAAAUCAAAGACAGUUUUGCUCAUCCACAAUGAACAGCAGUGUAUUUCCUAAUCUAGAUGUUGUUUAUGAUGAAAAUGCAGUGGACAAAAUUUCGUUAUCAGCUAUCAUGAGUGUUCUCUUUUCUCCACCAAAUUACCAGAAAAAUCAUCUGGGUGCCUCCGCUUCUGACAAAGAAAAUGUGGAUCAUGGUGGGAUCUCUUCAUCAGAUGGUAGGAGUUUGGAGAAUGUGUCUAAAACAGGGCCUCGAAGAAAUGGGGCGUGCUGGUGCAGGCAUAGCGUAUGGAUCACUUCUUCUAAAAGGAGCAUCUGGAUACGUGUAUGGACAUAACCUACUCCAGAAUCCAGUUGACCAUUUAGUCACUGGCAUUAGGUGGGGUUCCAUUGGGUAACUUUAUAAGUCGGACAGCAAAAUUGGGCUCCCCAAAACCUCAGAAAAUAUAUUUCUCAUUUAGAUCGUUAGAAUCAUCAAAUACAAUUCAAGUUUCAAUUUUAAGGUGUAUUCCCAACUGUGCAUGGACUAUCCUAAUUCUCCCACUAAGAUUAUGACUGUACUAUGUGAUUGUUGUGUUGUUAGAUGCCAAAGUACCAGAAGCUAUAACAGAGUACAAUGCAAGAAGUAAUCCCUCCAAAAUAAUGCAGAAGAACGUGACUGUUCCUGACGAGAACCCUAUGGAGUUGGCAAAGGAAAAAUUGAAAUCUCCGUGAAAACUGGAUCUGAUCUUGGGCCUUGGGGUGAAAUGGUAGAAAAUACUCAGAUGAAGAGAAGCUUAAAGCAGCGAUGUACAUAUUUACUGUUUCACUUAGAUUUCUGGAUGGCAUUCUGAUUCAGAAACAUGAGACAGAAUAAAAAUUUGUGUUUUACAAUUUUUAUACUACAUGUAAAGAUUACACUUCCUGAGUCCUGACAUGGACAGCAAAUCCUCUA